UCUAUAGCUAUAUUUUAUAAUAUUUGCAACAAACUCAUCGGAGAAAUCGGGAUGUCAAUCCUUUGUGUAUUCCGUAUGUUUUGACAAAUAUUUAAAACCCUUGAACCGUCAAUCGCUUUUCACAAAUCUUUCUCUCAAACAUGUUGCUUCCGUGCUAAGAAGUUCCGGCGGAAACCUUACCCCCUACGUGCACCUUUGCCAGUCGUCUGCAACUGUCGAUGUCACCACCAUCGUCAAUCCAAACCAGUCAGAGCCACGCUACGGGUACCAGUUGCCUCACUCCGCCGUGACCGCCUCGCCGCACAACCACCGGGAUCCCCGCCACACCUAGUUCGAAGCUUGUGAUUAGCGUCUCCGACUCACGAACUACGACCAUCUCUAUUCAUUGUCUGCUAUAAUCACACGCCGUCGCACCCCCGCCGUCUGCCGCCAUUGGUUUAGUCGCCUGAGAUCUCCGAUUCACGAACAGCCACCACACCCCUCACGUUCGAUCGAUCGCGACCGUUAUAGUAGCUUCUUUCUCGUCUCUCUGUGACGCAGCCACCAUCGUCGCCACUUGAAACCGAUCCGACUCACCGAAGUCCUGCACAAUCUUUGAUUCAGUUCCGUCGAUACCGAUCCUAGUCUGAUACGCGGUAUUUAUAUUCAUCUAUUGUCUUUCUGCUCUUGUAUAUAGUCAAAGAAGAAAUAUGGGUGGUGUCGUGACGUUUGAGUCAAGCUUAGGUCUCGUCACGAUUUUCGCUGUCAAUGAUGCUGGAAGAGGAUAUCGCUAACAUCUUGGGUGAUAUCCUGAGAUUCAUUAAUUAACCACGUGCAGAUUAAAGGCUGAGACUUACUAACGGUCAAGAGGACUUCUUCUCCUCAGGACUCGGACGAGUUUGUUGAAGAAGAGACGUUGAGCCCGAAAGACCAGGUCUACAACGUUCGAUGAAGGAAUAUUCGGUGGAUCCCGCAAGUUUAGGAUAGUUAGUUAAUUUAUCUAUACUAUAAAUAGAUGUGGCGGAUCAGUUUAAGGCACACAAUUUUUUCACUAACACUCUCGUACACUCUUGCUCUCUAGAUUACUGCAGUCACCACACUUGUAUCCAACUCACGUUGUAACACUUAGUUGAUCCGCACCACAUCCUGCACUGUAUCCUGAUAUUUGAAGUAAUAGAAGAACAAGGCAGCUGCGAUUGUCAGCUCCCGAGGUUU
rnacentral:lncRNA from 1 species